rnacentral:rRNA from 1 species
GGGAAUCUACCCAGAUCUACGGAACAACAGAGGGAAACUUCUGCUAAUACCGUAUACGCCCUACGGGGGAAAGAUUUAUCGGAUUUGGAUGAGCCCGCGUAAGAUUAGCUAGUUGGUGAGGUAAUGGCUCACCAAGGCGACGAUCUUUAGCUGGUCUGAGAGGAUGAUCAGCCACACUGGGACUGAGACACGGCCCAGACUCCUACGGGAGGCAGCAGUGGGGAAUAUUGGACAAUGGGCGCAAGCCUGAUCCAGCCAUGCCGCGUGAGUGAUGAAGGCCUUAGGGUUGUAAAGCUCUUUCAGUGGGGAAGAUAAUGACGGUACCCACAGAAGAAGCCCCGGCUAACUUCGUGCCAGCAGCCGCGGUAAUACGAAGGGGGCUAGCGUUGUUCGGAUUUACUGGGCGUAAAGCGCACGUAGGCGGUUUGUUAAGUCAGAGGUGAAAUCCUGGAGCUCAACUCCAGAACUGCCUUUGAUACUGGCAAGCUCGAGUCCGGAAGAGGUAAGUGGCACUCCUAGU